CUUUGGGUUUCGUUAAAUUAAACCUACAAUAUAGUAAUGUGCGACUAACUGGACUCCCUGUGUAAUUUAUGGCACUAGCUGAAAUGUUUUAUCCAUUAAAUAAUUUUGGUUAUAGUUCAUUUAAGAGAGACCCAAUUUGUUCAGUAAACCACUGUUUACUAAAGAAAGCAAUUUUGAUUAUUUUUUUCUCCUGCUAUACUAAAAUCAUACCUACCAUGAUUUCAAAACCGAUGGUAUGUACCAAAUAUUAUUUUUAUUUUUUUUGGUGUAACUUCAUUUAAAUUAUUUUUGGAACAUGAUUAAAAUGGACAAUAAUGCUGUCAUGUCCUAUUAUACUCUAAAUUUUUAUAUAACAUUAAAUCCAUAACAAUAUUUAAUAUGAUUUGAAAUGGUGUGCAGUUUGAUUUAGUUCAAUUCUACUAAAACGUGCAGAUUAUUGUACUUUCAGAACAAACAGCUUCCUGUGAAUGUUGCAGUCCAUCAUGUCUGUAUUCCCGGACAUUGUUCAAGUUAUCAGACAUUGUGUUUUUCCCCUUCUUAACUUACUCAGUGUUCUUCCUUGGUGGGCCCCUGAGGGUCUCAGGACAGAAAAGGUGUGCUCUAUGGAUUAAACAGGUCAUGCAUGUUAUAUUAUCUGGUUUUAAAUGCUGUAAAUGAAGUUUUUCUCAUUUUCAUCUCCUUAUGCUAAUUAAUGCCCUUGUACCUUGUGUGUCAGGUGGAUGAGCACUCCAGCCAUCACCAUGAUGGUCUGCCUGAGAGACGCCCACUGGAGCUGAGAAAGAUGGAGUGGGUGGAUGAGCACUCCAGCCGUCACCAUGAUGGUCUGCCUGAGAGAUGCCCACUGGAGCUGAGAAAGAUGGAGUGGGUUGAUCAACACACCAGCCGUCUCCGUGAUGGUCUCCCUGAGACAUACGCAGUGGAGCUGAGAAAGGUGGAGUAGGUGUGUUGAAUCAAGCAGUUUAAGUCGGUUAACAACGGUUCAUAAUCUUAAAGGGACAGUUGCUUACAAAUAAAAAAUGUGUUUAUUGUAUAAAGUUAUUAUGA
ensembl:lncRNA